rnacentral:rRNA from 1 species
CCGACCGGCGCACGGGUGAGUAACACGUAUGCAAUCCACCUGUAACAGGGGGAUAACCCGGAGAAAUCCGGACUAAUACCCCAUAAUAUGGGCUCUCCGCAUGGAGGGUCCAUUAAAGAGAGCAAUUUUGGUUACAGACGAGCAUGCGCUCCAUUAGCCAGUUGGCGGGGUAACGGCCCACCAAAGCGACGAUGGAUAGGGGUUCUGAGAGGAAGGUCCCCCACAUUGGAACUGAGACACGGUCCAA